rnacentral:rRNA from 1 species
UCGAACGGACUUAUACUGAAACCUAGUGAUUUAUGAGUUAGUGGCGGACGGGUGAGUAACGCGUGGAUAACCUGCCGUAUACCGGGGGAUAACACUUAGAAAUAGGUGCUAAUACCGCAUAAGCGCACGGCUCCGCAUGGGGCAGUGUGAAAAACUCCGGUGGUAUACGAUGGAUCCGCGUCUGAUUAGCUAGUUGGCGGGGUAACGGCUCACCAAGGCAGCGAUCAGUAGCCGGCCUGAGAGGGUGGACGGCCACAUUGGGACUGAGACACGGCCCAAACUCCUACGGGAGGCAGCAGUGGGGAAUAUUGCACAAUGGGGGAAACCCUGAUGCAGCGACGCCGCGUGAGUGAAGAAGUAUCUCGGUACGUAAAGCUCUAUCAGCAGGGAAGAUAAUGACGGUACCUGACCAAGAAGCCCCGGCUAACUACGUGCCAGCAGCCGCGGUAAUACGUAGGGGGCAAGCGUUAUCCGGAUUUACUGGGUGUAAAGGGAGCGUAGACGGCAGCACAAGUCUGGAGUGAAAUCCCGGGGCUUAACCCCGGAACUGCUUUGGAAACUGUGCGGCUGGAGUGCAGGAGGGGUAAGCGGAAUUCCUAGUGUAGCGGUGAAAUGCGUAGAUACUAGGAGGAACACCGGUGGCGAAGGCGGCUUACUGGACUGUAACUGACGUUGAGGCUCGAAAGCGUGGGGAGCAAACAGGAUUAGAUACCCUGGUAGUCCACGCCGUAAA